rnacentral:rRNA from 1 species
CGCAGCGAAUGCGAUACUUGGUGUGAUGAGAAUCCGUGAACCAUCGAGUUUUGAACGCAAGUUGCGCCCGAAGCCAUUAGGCCGAGGCACGUCUGCCUGGGCGUCACGCAUCACGUCGCCACCCACCAUCGUUGUGAUGGGUGGCGGAUGUUGGCCUCCCGUGUUGCAAGAUGCGGCCGGCCUAAAAGCGAGUCCUCGGCGAGAGACGUCACGACUAGUGGUGGUUGAAUUCCUCAACUCGAGYCCUGUCGUGCCGAUGCCUCUCGACGUCUUUGGGCUCCCUCGACCCUAUAGCGUGCUCACAAGGGCASACCUCGACCGCGACCCCWGGUCA